GUGGGGAAUCUUAGACAAUGGGGGAAACCCUGAUCUAGCCAUGCCGCGUGAGCGAUGAAGGCCUUAGGGUUGUAAAGCUCUUUCAGCUGGGAAGAUAAUGACGGUACCAGCAGAAGAAGCCCCGGCUAACUCCGUGCCAGCAGCCGCGGUAAUACGGAGGGGGCUAGCGUUGUUCGGAAUUACUGGGCGUAAAGCGCGCGUAGGCGGACCAGAAAGUUGGAGGUGAAAUCCAAGGGCUCAACCUUGGAACUGCCUUCAAAACUCCUGGUCUGGAGUUCGAGAGAGGUGAGUGGAAUUCCGAGUGUAGAGGUGAAAUUCGUAGAUAUUCGGAGGAACACCAGUGGCGAAGGCGGCUCACUGGCUCGAUACUGACGCUGAGGUGCGAAAGCGUGGGGAGCAAACAGGAUUAGAAACCCGAGUAGUCC
rnacentral:rRNA from 1 species